AGACCUCUUUGUCUGCUGCCUCCA
rnacentral:siRNA from 1 species